rnacentral:rRNA from 1 species
CAAGGAAUUUUCCCCAAUGGGCGCAAGCCUGAGGGAGCAACGCCGCGUGCAGGACGACGGCCUUCGGGUUGUAAACUGCUUUUGGUGGGGACGAUAGUGACGGUACCCGCCGAACAAGCCCCGGCUAACUCUGUGCCAGCAGCCGCGGUAAGACAGAGGGGGCAAGCGUUGUCCGGACUGACUGGGCGUAAAGCGCGCGCAGGCGGCGCUGGGCGUCGGUGCUGAAAUCGGGCCGCUUAACGGCCCGCGGCGUGCCGAUACGCCAGUGCUGGAGCGCGGGCGAGGGUGGUGGAAUUGCCGGUGUAGUGGUGAAAUGCGUAGAGAUCGGCAGGAACACCCGUGGCGAAAGCGGCCACCUAGCCCGUUGCUGACGCUGAAGCGCGACAGCGUGGGGAGCGAACUGGAUUAGAUACCCAGGUAGUCCACGCCGUAAACGAUGCCGACUCGGUAUCCGGCUGGCUAACGCUGGCGGGUGCCCCAGCUUACGCGGUAAGUCGGCCGCCUGGGGACUACGAGCGCAA